CCUACGUGAGGCAGCAGUAGGGAAUCUUCCACAAUGGGCGAAAGCCUGAUGGAGCAACGCCGCGUGGGUGAAGAAGGUCUUCGGAUAGUAAAACCCUGUUGUUAGAGAAGAAAGUGCGUGAGAGUAACUGUUCACGUUUCGACGGUAUCUAACCAGAAAGCCACGGCUAACUACGUGCCAGCAGCCGCGGUAAUACGUAGGUGGCAAGCGUUAUCCGGAUUUAUUGGGCGUAAAGGGAACGCAGGCGGUCUUUUAAGUCUGAUGUGAAAGCCUUCGGCUUAACCGGAGUAGUGCAUUGGAAACUGGGGGACUUGAGUGCAGAAGAGGAGAGUGGAACUCCAUGUGUAGCGGUGAAAUGCGUAGAUAUAUGGAAGAACACCAGUGGCGAAAGCGGCUCUCUGGUCUGUAACUGACGCUGAGGUUCGAAAGCGUGGGUAGCAAACAGGAUUAGAUACCCGAGUAGUC
rnacentral:rRNA from 1 species